rnacentral:lncRNA from 1 species
AGGCACUGUAUGACCUGUUAUUAACAACCCUGUGUGUCUCCCUCCCUUCAGGGCAGAACAUUCCGGUGUCAGACCAAUGUCUGCAGCAUGCAUUCAGUCUUCACCACAGUCUCUGUGCCAGCCUACUGCUGGCCUACCAGGCCUGUUUGGUUACUUCACCUCCGUCAGCAAGGACCUGCCCUCCUCACACGCAUGGAGCUAGGUAGACCUACACUACACCAGGGUAACACUAGAAACAGUCAGUCACACACCCAUCACAUUGUGCCAGUUGGCGCUGCAUGGAGAAAAACAGUGUCAACUGAAAUGGAAAGAAUCUCCAGGAUGUUGAUGCUCCACACAUGUAUGGAUCUGUAGCGCUGACAGACUGGGUCAUUCCCCCAUAGUCCCAUUUAUUACCUCAGUUUUUGGCGUUUUGACAUACAACACGGGACCUGCAGCUUGAUUUGACUGCAGGGUUUGAGUUGAAGAAUUAGAUUUAGAGAGCCCUGAUACCCAUGAGAGAUUUACAGGACAGCUGUGUUAUUACACCUCAACAUGAUCCAAAACACAUACCUCUGACCUGCUGCCAGACUUUACUGUUAGAACGCUCUGUUUUAUGCUGUCUCUUCUCUCUCUUGCUUUUUCCAAUGUCUGUAUCUAGAAUGAGUAUGAUGUAUUGUACAUUGGUCUUCAUCAACUGGCUGUGUGUUUAUCAUAGUAGUGCAUGUUCAUCAUUUGCUCCCUGCUCCUACAAAAAUAAUUCCUUUCAGCCGUUCUAGAAGGAAGUUGAUGGUAGUAGGUGACUGGCUCACCCUUGAGUCACACAUCAACUCCCUCCCUACAACUAGCUGUGGUCUGGUGCUCACAGACUGUAAGUCACAGUCACAACAUCAACUCUCCUCCCUAACAACUAGCUGUGGUCUGGUUCUUCACAGACUGUUAGUCACAGUCACAACAUCAACUCUCCUCCCUACAACUAGCUGUGGUCUGGUGCUUCACAGACUGUUAGUCACAACAUCAACUCUCCUCCCUACAACUAGCUGUGGUCUGGUGCUUCACAGACUGUUAGUACAACAUCAACUCUCCCCCUACAACUAG